UACGUAGGGUGCAAGCGUUAAUCGGAAUUACUGGGCGUAAAGCGUGCGCAGGCGGUUAUGUAAGUCAGAUGUGAAAUCCCCGGGCUCAACCUGGGAAUUGCAUUUGAGACUGCAUGGCUAGAGUGUGUCAGAGGGGGGUAGAAUUCCACGUGUAGCAGUGAAAUGCGUAGAGAUGUGGAGGAAUACCGAUGGCGAAGGCAGCCCCCUGGGAUAACACUGACGCUCAUGCACGAAAGCGUGGGGAGCAAACAGG
rnacentral:rRNA from 1 species